rnacentral:rRNA from 1 species
AUUGAACGCUGGCGGCAGGCCUAACACAUGCAAGUCGAGCGGAUGAAGGGAGCUUGCUCCUGGAUUCAGCGGCGGACGGGUGAGUAAUGCCUAGGAAUCUGCCUGGUAGUGGGGGGUAACGUCCGGAAACGGGCGCUAAUACCGCAUACGUCCUGAGGGAGAAAGUGGGGGAUUUUCGGACCUCACGCUAUCAGAUGAGCCUAGGUCGGAUUAGCUAGUUGGUGGGGUAAAGGCCUACCAAGGCGACGAUCCGUAACUGGUCUGAGAGGAUGAUCAGUCACACUGGAACUGAGACACGGUCCAGACUCCUACGGGAGGCAGCAGUGGGGAAUAUUGGACAAUGGGCGAAAGCCUGAUCCAGCCAUGCCGCGUGUGUGAAGAAGGUCUUCGGAUUGUAAAGCACUUUAAGUUGGGAGGAAGGGCAGUAAGUUAAUACCUUGCUGUUUUGACGUUACCAACAGAAUAAGCACCGGCUAACUUCGUG